CCAACCUAAAUAUGAUGCAGUGGAUAGUUAAUAGGGUGUAAUAACUCUGACUUUUAUAACAAAUAUCUGUUUGCAGUGAGACCAAACGUGGUGGUUGAAGUGCAGGUGGUGGAGGAAGUUGCUGUGGAAGACACUGUAGAAUUAAUGACCGAAGAUGUUUAUGCUGAUGACGUCCUGGAUGUGGAAUACAAGCAAAGCAAACAGCUGUAGCCGCCAUAAAGACCUGAGUAGCUUUAUUUGUGUUUUACUCUAAGAUAAAUGUCUUCAGAUGUUCUCAGUUUUUCCUUUGUUAUAACUUAAAUGCUUUGGUUUUAUUAUUUAAAUAAAUCUAUCAUGGAU